UACGUAGGGGGCAAGCGUUGCCGGAAUCAUUGGGCGUAAAGAGCGUGUAGGCGGCCAGAUAAGUCCGCUGUGAAAUCUCGAGGCUCAACUUCGAGCUGUCGGUGGAAACUGUCUGGCUAGAGUCCGGAAGAGGAGAAUGGAAUUCCUGGUGUAGCGGUGAAAUGCGCAGAUAUCAGGAAGAACACCCGUGGCGAAGGCGGUUCUCUGGGACGGUACUGACGCUGAGACGCGAAAGCGUGGGGAGCGAACAGG
rnacentral:rRNA from 1 species